AUUGAACGCUGGCGGCAGGCCUAACACAUGCAAGUCGAACGAGUGGCGGACGGGUGAGUAAUGUCUGGGAAACUGCCUGAUGGAGGGGGAUAACUACUGGAAACGGUAGCUAAUACCGCAUACCAUCGGAUGUGCCCAGAUGGGAUUAGCUAGUAGGUGGGGUAAAGGCCCACCUAGGCGACGAUCCCUAGAUGGUCUGAGAGGAUGACCAGCCAAACUGGAACUGAGACACGGUCACGACUCCUACGGGAGGCAGCAGUGGGGAUUAUUGCACAAUGGGCGCAAGCCGGAUGCAGCCAUGCCGAGUGUAUGAAGAAGGCUUUCGGGUUGUAAAGUACUUUCAGCGGGGAGGCGUUACCCGCAGACGAAGCACCGGCUAACUCCGUGCCAGCCGCCGCGGUAAUAC
rnacentral:rRNA from 1 species